AGACUGUCUCCACAUCCCAACAACGUGCCUGAGAGGACAGCAGGCAGAAGCCUACAGAGUUUGGCAGGUCCCUGUGUCACUCAGCACCACCUAUGAGGAGCAACGCCAGACACUUGCUGAUGGGAGCAAGAGGAAAUCUAUUUCGCUGAGGCUGUUAAGGUCCUUGUUGUAGGUGCUUGGGAGUCCUUUGAGAACCAUGAGAAUUGAAGCCAGCUGCAGAGAGAAACAGACAAGACAGUUGGCUACCAGAAGAGGAACACACUGCCCCAGUGGAAGGUCAGAGCCCACAUUGGGCACAAUUCUUUUUUACAUGGAGGCAUGAAGGAAGAUUCUUCAGCCCCAACAUGAGCAGUUUCCCUAUCCCUCUUCUUUCUUAAACACACUCACCCGUCCAAAGACACGUCCAGCCUUGCUGCGG